GACGAACGCUGGCGGCGUGCUUAACACAUGCAAGUCGAACGGAAAGGCCCUGCUUUUGUGGGGUGCUCGAGUGGCGAACGGGUGAGUAACACGUGAGUAACCUGCCCUUGACUUUGGGAUAACUUCAGGAAACUGGGGCUAAUACCGGAUAGGAGCUCCUGCUGCAUGGUGGGGGUUGGAAAGUUUCGGCGGUUGGGGAUGGACUCGCGGCUUAUCAGCUUGUUGGUGGGGUAGUGGCUUACCAAGGCUUUGACGGGUAGCCGGCCUGAGAGGGUGACCGGCCACAUUGGGACUGAGAUACGGCGCAGACUCCAACGGGAGGCAGCAGUGGGGAAUAUUGCACAAUGGGCGGAAGCCUGAUGCGACAACGCCGCGUGCGGAAUGACGGCCUUCGGGUUGUAAACAGAUUUCGCCUGUGACGAAGCGUGAGUGACGGUAAUGGGUAAAGAAGCACCGGCUAACUACGUG
rnacentral:rRNA from 1 species